UUAAGAGUACUGGCUCCUCUUCCAGAGGACCUAGAUUUGGAACACCAGCAUGGUGGCCUGCAAUAGAAGUAUUGUGAGUUGGUGCUGAGACGACAGCAAAUCACAGGAGGAGGUGACAAUGCAGCAGGAUCCUAAGCCUAGCUCCUCUGAGCAAGAGGUCCUCAUCGGUCCUUACAGGAUCCUCAAGACCCUUGGCACAGGCAACUUUGCUCAGGUCAAACUGGCUGUGCACCUCCACACAAAGAUGCAGGUUGCUCUGAAGACCCUGGAAAAGGACAAAAAGAACGCUACUCUGAUUUCCACAGAGCUAGAAAUAAUGAAAUUAGUAGACCACCCUAAUAUAACCAAAUUGUUCCAUGUCAUGGAAACCAGUGAGCAUGUCUGCAUGGUUAUGGAAUACGCUCCUGGUGGUGAUCUGGCUGGUCGCAUCAUAGAGGUGAGCUACAUUCAGGAAGAGGAGGCCCGACACAUCUUCACACAGAUAGUUUGUGCAGUUAAUUACUGCCACAAGAAUGGCAUUGCACACAGGGACAUCAAGCCAGAAAACAUUCUGAUGGAUGCUAGAAGAAACAUCAAACUGUGUGACUUUGGCCUGGCCAUCAAGGUUAACACUGAGCAGAAGUCAACAGUGUUCUGUGGCACCCUUCCAUACUGUGCACCAGAACUUUUCAGCAUCCAAAGCUAUGAUCCCAGGGCCCUUGAUAUCUGGAGCAUGGGGGUGGUACUAUACAUCAUGGUGACGAAGCAUUACCCGUUCAAAGCAACGACAUAUGACAAGAUGAGGGAGGAGAUGCGGGACCCACACUACUAUAUCCCGCCAAAGCUCCCAGCACACAUUGCCAACCUCAUCAUGCAGUUGUUCACUAUUGAUCCUUUGCAGAGGCCCAAGAUAGGUGACGUUGCGAAACAUCAGUGGCUGCAGGGCAGCGAGGAGCUUUCAAAAAUCACCCUACCCCAAGAGACACUCAGCAGCAAGCCCAGCCCCAGUAUUAUGGCAAUUAUGGGGGCCAUGGGCUACAACCCCAAGGACAUUACAGACUCUUUAUAUAAAAAAAAAUUUAAUAGCAUCAUGGCAACUUACUUAAUUUUAAAACACCAGUCACCCUACAGGGACAGCGCUAACCGCAAGUUUAAACUCAUUCAGCCUCGUAGUGCCACGAUACCCACAGAUCCUCCCACUGUCCAUGUCUUCCUAAAGAACAUCGGGACUGAGCCUGACAAUUCCACCUCUGCUCCAACAGCAAAAGACAAGCCCUACAACAACGCCAAGCUUGUAAGAAAGGACAGCAAGAAUCCCAGGAUAACUGAUGCUAUGGGCCGCCAGAAGACUCGUGUCCCUCCUGAAACAGCUGCCCAGUGUGGGCCUGUGCAGCGUCACCAGGAGCCUCUCUUGAAAAGCAGCUUGCUGAAGAGAAACGUGGCUUCCAGUGCUGUAUCCUCUUUUCCUGUGCAGUAUGACCGUGAUCAGUUCUUGAACAGUAGCUUGCAGAAGAGAGGGGUGGUUUCUAAGGCCGUGUCCUGUGGUCCUGUGCAGUAUGUGCAGAGGAGAAACAUGAUGUCCAAGGCUGUGUCCUGUGGUCCUGUGGAGUAUGAAGAUGAGCAUCCCCCGAGCCACAGCUCACAGAAAAGAGGGGUGGUUUCUAAGGCCGUGUCCUGUGGUCCUGUCGAGUAUGAAGAUGAGCAUCCCCUGAGCCACAGCUUGCAGAAGAGAGGGGUGGUUUCUAAGGCUGUGUCCUGUGGUUCCAUGCAGCAUGACCUCGAGCAGCUCCCGAGCUUUCAAAAAACAAAUAUGGUUUCCAAGGCUGUGUCCUGUGGUCCUGUGCAGCUCUCCAACAGCACCUUGCAGAAGGGAGGCCUGGUUUCCAAGGCCGUGUCCUGUGGUUCCAUGCAGCAUGACCUCGAGCAGCUCCCGAGCUUUCAAAAAACAAAUAUGGUUUCCAAGGCUGUGUCCUGUGGUCCUGUGCAGCUCUCCAACAGCACCUUGCAGAUGGGAGGCCUGGUUUCCAAGGCCGUGUCCUGUGGUUCCAUGCAGCAUGACCUCGAGCAGCUCCCAAGCUUUCAAAAAACAAAUAUGGUUUCCAAGGCCGUGUCCUGUGGUCCUGUGCAGCUCUCCAACAGCACCUUGCAGAAUGGAGGCCUGGUUUCUAAGGCCGUGUCCUGUGAGUCCAUGCAGCAUGACCAUGAGCACCUCCUAAGCGGCUCCAUGGAAAAGAGAAACACAGUGGCUUCCAGGGGUACGUCUCCAGACACAGCUCCCUCCAUGGACGUUCUUUCUGAGUACCACAUUUUCCAGAUGGAUCCCCAGGGUGAAUCCCUGACUAAGUGCAGCUCAUACAUCCACAGUAUAGCCUCUGUAUGGAGCUCUGAGGAGAAGCCUCAGGAUAUGGCCACCACAGACUGUCAUCACAAGGACAGAAGCUUGUCCUUGCAGGAAACAUCUGAACCAAGCUUUGCUGCUGCCCAGACCCAGUGUGUAACCACAGCCUCUCCUCAGAACUCAUCAGGCAGAUGGAAGCGGGCAAAGAGAAGGAUGGUGAAGUGUUUAAGGAGAUUAUGCUGCUGUCUGCCAGACCAAAGGAGAAGCUGCACUUCCCAGAGGAGAGUGCUUCCACAGGAGGUGGGAGAAAGUGGAGUCACACAAAACCAGGCUCUUUUGCAGUAGAUUUUGGGAGCCCCUCCAGCCAGUGCAUGGUGUCCGUGUACUUUUGACCAGCUUCAGGCAGGAUCUCUGUGAGUGCUUUAGUCUCUGGUGACUGCAGGUAUCUGGAGACCAGCAGGUAGGUUACCAGGGUAACCCUCUUGGUUCAUUUUUAUAGAGGUGCGUUUUGGGAGAUAAGAGAGCAUGAUGGAGUAGGAAUUUGGUUCAACUUCACCCCAGCCAUGCCUGGGAGAGCAGAGUUCAGGGGAACUGCACUGGCCUAAGAUAAACCAGGACAACUGUCCUAAAGACCUAUGAGAGGGAACUUUGCAAGAACAUCUGGGAGAGCCAUGUGGGAGAACAUUUUGAAUCACCAAUACCCCAGUUACUUUGUAAACCCAGUGCCUCAUUCCUGAGUGUAUGGUGUACGGGGCCUUUGGAAAGGUGACAGGAAAGGAGAGUAAUUAGCCAGGUCAUCUAAGACCAAGGGCAGCAUAGCCCCAGGCUGUAUGGAGCUAGUUAGCUUGCAUAGCAAAUGCCUCAUUCUGGAAGAAGAGGCCUGCAUGCGAUUGAUUUGGCCUCUGCAUGGACACCGACAGGCUCUUCAACAAGACAUUGAAUGUCUCAUUGGGGUGCAGGAGCAGACACAGGAAGGCUCUCCUCAUCCCCAACUGUGGAUUCUCUCCAUUCCCUCUGUGCUCUCAAACUGUGAAACCGAGCCAUGAAGCUCAGUCUGAGGAAUCCAGUUCAGUUGAGGUGUUCCAGAAAGCGUCUCUCCUUCAGGUUCUUCCUGCCUCUGCCCAGGACGCCAUAGAAGAUUCGCCUGACAAGCUGGCCAGGGAUAUGACUGGUGUGUAGUACAUCGGAGAUCUUGGACCAGAUGCAGAGACCCUGAAGCUGAGACUGGAGGUUGUGAUGAAGGCAAGUCUCAUGGCCAGCCCAGUGAGGAGGGCAUUCUUCAAAGUGACUACAAAGUCUUCCUGUCCUUGAGCUGUGGCGCACUGGAGGAGGUGAAACCUGCAUGCCACGUUCUCACACGUAAACAACUGGUCCUGGAGAAAAGGAACAAACUUGUAUGACAUCACCUCUGAGGUAGAACUCAUUAAAUCAUUGGAAGAUCAUCAAACUCUUAUACACGGUUGAUACACCAUUAACCACUUACAUGAUAAUUGGGUGUGUGGUGAGGAGAAGAACUGGAGAGGUGCCCAAUGGAGGAUGGAGCAUUAUGGCUUUUCCAGCAGGCUACGUCAGUUGUUCACUUCCUCCUCCGGAGGCACAGGCUACCAGAAUAUCCAAUUGGAAAACAUCUAGUGGAUGCAGCAGGAAAUUCAAAGCUUUGUGACUUUGGUAUGGCAACUAAACUCACAAAGGGACAGGUGAUGGGGAAGCUCUGUGGCUCCCUGAUCUACCUGACCCCAGAUACCUUGACAGGUAGACUGUGUAAUGGCCUUACAGUUGACACAGAAUUUGGAUAUCCUUCUCAGUGUCAUGUUCACAGAUCUCUUUCCAUACUUAGAAACAAUUCUUUCAGGCAUGCACCCGCUCAUCACCACCACAAUGUGUCAUCUUUCUUGUUACUUGUCCAAAACCCACCAGGUUAUUAUUGCAAGCUUGGUCCUGGUCCUCCCUUCCCCGUGAUAGUGGGUCAUCUAGUGGAACACACAUGGCUGUACCACAUCCAAGAACAUGCACCACUUGUCUCUAAAGAAAUAAUAUUGAUGACCAUGAAGAACAUGUGUAUGAUUAGACACGGGUAAACUAUGUAAAACACAGGUUACAAAAUGAAAGUCACAGCUAAAUUCAAUGUUUUGAAACAUCAGUUGGGCUGUGGGGAUAGCUGUCUCCCAACUGUAAGGCCCCAUUUAAAUCCCAGUGCUGCAGGGUUUCUUGCCUAACACCCAGUGCUGCCCAGAGAAGAUGCGCUGUCUAGGUACCACAGACACGGAAAGCAAAACUGUGAAUGUUUGGAGGACAUUGAAGUUGGUGUGACUCUGGGUGACACUCCACUUGAUGAGGAGGCCCCAACAGAGUCAGCCUAGGACGCAACAACCACAGGGCUAAAUGAAGAGAACAAGAGCUUGUGCCCUGUGGAGCCCCCAACAGAGUCAGCCUAGGACGCAACAACCACAGGGCUAAAUGAAGAGAACAAGAGCUUGUGCCCUGUGGAGCCCCCAACAGGGUGAGUCUCACCCAGUGUCCCAGCCCCAGGUUGAACCUAUAGACUCUGGCUCCAAGAUGGCUCUGGCUGGAAGGGACCAAGGAGGUGAAUUACUUGAGUAUUUAGAACACUUUGCUGCUGCCUGCCCACCCAAAGGUGAGUCAUGAAUACUUGUGGUAAGGAGCUGCAAAGAAAGGAGACAGGAAUGGGGUCCUGUAGUUUAGGGCAUCAAAAUGCAUGUCUACAUUUUAUUUUAAUGCUUUUUGGAUGACCCUUGUAAGUGGCAAAUUACAAAUUUAUGGUGUACAAGACUUAAGGUGUCAAUGUCUUUAGAAGGAACAAGCUUACAAUCUCCCUCUCAUGUAGAUUCUUGGGUUGUUGAGCCAGAUGUAGUUAGCAGAGUGUAGCAACCAGAGGAUGGGAAGGGAGAGAGGAGAGUUUUGCAAAGGGGGCAAAGGUUCAGUAGUUGGGGGAUCAAGUGGAGGGCUAAGGUACAGCAGGGUACUUAGUGCCAAGUCCUGCCUAUGUUAACAUGACUAACGGAAGACUUUCCAUGGAUCUUUUUUCAAGUGGUGAAAUAGACAAGGCCUGGUGCAGAUGGACAGCCACUGAAGAGAGCCAGGCCAGAAUGUGAAUGUCAGGGUGCUGUUUGCCCACACACCCAGGGCACAGGCUCCACAGCCAUCCUUCAUCAGGUCUUUGCUGCCAACUCCCUGCUUGCUCAGCCCAGCACUGCAGGCUGCACCAAUAGGUGGUCUCACGUGACAUCUACCUGAUGAAGGCCUACCUCUCCAGCUCCUGUGGAACAGAUACCCCUGGAAGCCAGACUGUCUGGCAUACAGCCUCCUUCCUUCCAGCCUCUGUGGUGAUGUCCCUUCCUAUCCCACAGAAACAAUCCCUCAACACUUACUUGACUGCACUUGAGAUCGCUUUGGUUCCUGCAACAGGGUGGGUAAGGCCUCUCUGGGACUGGGGCUCAGAAUGUCUCUGUAGGAAGCAGCCGUGGGGCUACUUUGUAAUCAGUGUCCGCCUCAGGGGUAAGGUUUAGAAAGAACCAUGGAGCCAUGGAUGGCAGCCAGUGAUGCUGAGUGGACACUAGCUGCUGUGGUGCUGCAGUGCUCUUCUGGGUACCUUCUUGGUGGGGUGGAGCUCCUGGCGUCCACAGGGACCCACCAGCUGACCAGGAACACAGGGGGAUGACCUGUGGAUAUCAUGCAUUUGAGAUAAUUCUGAGUCCACCAAGUAUCUGCUUGUGGUAAAAGAUGGGUUUCUGAAGCCUGCCCUUGACAGAACACUAGUCCAGUGAAUACAAGGGAGGUGACUUAUGCAGGAUGCCCUGACCCAGAGGGGAAGGGGCUGACUUGCUUUUGGGAUUUGGUCUGUUGUGCUUAGCAGCAGGCUUUCCUCUCUCACCCUCUGGCCCCAGGCCUUUUUGGCAUCCUGGAAUAUUCUCAGGAGAGUACCAAGUUGUGUUCCCAGCUAUGUGGCAUGAAUGUGGUCAUGUCACUGGCCAGCCACUGCAUGACAUCAUACUUUUUACAGCCCCGACCAUGUAGUGAGUCCCAUUUGGCCCCACAUGGGAACAAGGCAGAGGCGCAGAUGGUCUUGUUUGUGUGGGCCGAGCAGGUGUGGGUAUGGGUGUGGGUGUGGUGUUCACUGGGGUAGGCCUCAGCUUCUGCUUCUACCAGGGCUGGGAAGGUGGUACAUUUUGUUGCUCUCUUGGAAACAAGUUAGGGGAAAUAGUCAAUAGGGAGUGCAGUGGAGAGGGAGUGAGAGGGGAGGGUAGAAGGAGAGAGAAGACUGACUGACUGACUGUCUGUCUGUCUGUCUGUCUGUCUGUCUGGUUUAUGAGGUCCUCUCAAGGAAAAUUGGGUUGCUUAGUUAUGGCCCUCAGCGUGCUUCUCUGUAUAUAAGGUGUGCCAGGAACCUUUGUUGCAGAAGAUGAUGGAAGGUGCCUUCACACCUGAUCUCCUGCUUCCUUAACCUGUCUUGUAGGGAAAUCACACAGCUCUGAAGACAUUUUCUAUGAUGGCUCAUUGGUGCUCAUCUUGUGGCCAUCCAAAGAGAAAAGCAGGGACGAAGCCCAGCCCGUGGCAGCAAGUUUCACGAUGGAACCCACAUUGUUAGGUCACACACAGAGGUGUGCAUGUGGCACUAACUAACCUGAACAUUGUCCACACAUGGCUUUGGUUUUCUACUGAAGAGCAGAGUACGGUGAGGAAGGGGUCCUUGAACCUAGCACCUUUACCAGUUGCUUGUCUAUAUCCUGCACACUCGGCAGCUGGGAGCCAAUGUGUUUCCUAGCUGCCUCCAGGUUUCAGGAUGUUCAGAUCCACAGUUCCACUGCAGCCCACAGAAUUCCUGCUUAUGAUGGAGGAAACGCCAGGGGCCUUAUCAGAGAAAUGGAGGAGCUUCUUCUUGAGGGAUGAACAAGUUAGGUCAGGGAACUGGGUCAUUCCUGAUCCAGGUCUUUGGCCCUAGCCGUGAUGUCCUCUGUGGCCCCAGGCUGGGCUUAGGAGUUCAGUGUCAGCUCCAGAGACCCACCAGCCUUCCUCCCGGGUCUCAGUUCUGCUGGCUGUAUUUGAUGGGUUCAGCAUUGAAACUUUCUUCGCUCUGUAUCACCUGGACAAGCAUAAAGGAGGUGGGAAGUGGGAGGACAGAGGCUCUAGUGUGACAUGUUGGUAGGGAGCCUUUUCUGACCACCUGAUCCCAAAGCCUGCUGCCAGGAAAAAGAGCUGGUCCAGCCAGGCUGCUUGGUGUCUCUUCCCAGGGGAGGUUACAAAGGAAGGAGACGGGCUUUGUGCUUGUCUCUCUUUAGUCUCUGACCACCAGUGGGAAUGAACAUGCUCUUCUCUGGCUGCAGCCUUCAUCCCAGGGAAUGUGAGACUUUGUGUCUGGUUAUCCAUUUGUCUGGAAUGGUCUUCCUUUCUUACAGCUGCUUGGCCAGACCUUGCUACCUGUAGCUAAAAUUGCCUCUACCUAGCAGCAGCAGCAGCAGCAGCAGCAGCAGCAGCAGCAGCAGCAGCAGCAGCAGCAGCAGCAGCACACUCCCCACC
rnacentral:sRNA from 1 species